ACAGCCGAGCCCGCCGGAGUACAGUACAGUAAAUCGGGACCCUCGGCAGACUGCGCUUCCCGCGCGCCCGCCAUGUUGGGGAGCCCUCCCUGUCCCCCGCGCCGGGCUGGGCGGCCGGGGCUCGCCGCCAGCCGGGGGAGGGCCUUUCAUAACCCGGAGAAUUUUCAAAGUGCGAGGAAGAUGAUAAGAAUAGAUUUCUACAAGUCCCGACCACGUGAUUGGUGAAAUAAUUAAUUCAGCACGUCCCUUAAGAAACACGGAGUCGUCAUUAAUCUGCCACGCAAAGGGCUCUCUCCGACUUGGAAAGUGCAGGGAUCCCAAGAAUAUCACCCGCCGAGGGGGGCCGUGUGGCGCCCCCAGCCCUCCACCCUCGGCCCCAGGCGGCGGGCGCGGGAGCGUGGCCGGCAGUAGAUUUCACAGUGCUGACCCAUGAGCUAACCAGCCAAUUCUCACCCAGUCACCGGAGAGUGGACUAUCUGCGUCUCCGUGAAAGAUGCUGUGAUUUUGAAACCAGGUUGUCUGGAGCCUGGAGCUGCCCCAGCUCUCUCAGGAUUUGGCAGACAUUGGAGGUGGUGGUGAAGGAGACAGUGGUGGUCAAUGUUAUUUGAGCAGGGUCAGCAGGCCCCGGAGCUUCCUGAGUACACGAUGCAGAAGGCUGCUUACUAUGAAAGCCCAGGACUCUUCGGAGGCUAUGGCUACAGCAAAGCUGCUGACACUUAUGGCUAUAGUGCCCCCCAUCAGCCUUAUCCACCCCCUGCUGCUGCCAACUCCCUGGACACUGAUUACCCGGGCUCUGCCUGCUCCAUCCAGAGCUCUGCACCUCUGCGAGCCCCAGCCCACAAGGGGGCUGAACUCAAUGGAAGCUGCAUGAGACCUGGCACUGGGAACAGUCAGGGAGGGGGGGGUGGCAGCCAGCCUCCUGGUCUGAACUCAGAGCAGCAGCCACCACCACCCCCUCCUCCACCACCAGCCCUGCCCCCAUCCUCACCCACCAACCCUGGAGGUGGAGCACCUGCCAAGAAGGCCAAGGGCGGGCCCACUGCUUCUGGCUCCUCAGCCACCAUCAGCAAGCAGAUCUUUCCCUGGAUGAAAGAGUCCCGACAGAACUCCAAGCAGAAGAACAGCUGUGCCACUGCAGGAGAGAGCUGCGAGGACAAGAGCCCACCGGGCCCAGCGUCCAAGCGGGUGCGCACGGCGUACACAAGUGCACAGCUGGUGGAGCUGGAGAAGGAAUUCCACUUCAACCGCUACUUGUGCCGGCCACGCCGCGUGGAGAUGGCCAACCUGCUGAACCUCACCGAGCGGCAGAUCAAGAUCUGGUUCCAGAACCGGCGCAUGAAGUACAAGAAGGACCAGAAGGCCAAGGGUAUCCUGCACUCGCCGGCCGGUCAGUCCCCGGAGCGCAGCCCGCCGCUCGGCGGCGCCGCGGGCCACGUGGCCUACUCGGGCCAGCUGCCACCAGUGCCCGGCUUGGCCUACGACGCGCCUUCGCCGCCCGCCUUCGCCAAAUCUCAGCCCAACAUGUACGGCCUGGCUGCCUACACGGCGCCGCUCAGCAGCUGCCUGCCGCAGCAGAAGCGCUACGCGGCGCCCGAAUUCGAGCCCCACUCCAUGGCGAGCAACGGCGGCGGCUUCGCCAGCGCCAACCUGCAGGGCAGCCCGGUGUACGUGGGCGGCAACUUCGUCGACUCCAUGGCGCCCGCAUCCGGGCCCGUCUUCAACCUGGGCCACCUCUCGCACCCAUCUUCAGCCAGCGUGGACUACAGUUGCGCCGCGCAGAUUCCCGGCAAUCACCACCACGGACCGUGUGACCCUCAUCCCACCUACACAGAUCUCUCGGCCCACCACUCGUCUCAGGGACGCCUGCCCGAGGCCCCCAAACUGACGCAUCUGUAGCGGCGGCCACCGGCCCGAACUCGCGGCGUGAUUACCUCUUUUGCUUGGGUGGCGGGGGUGGCGGGCGGGGCCCGCGGGGCAGCUCGGUGGCCCCCUCCCUCGCUCUGGCCCGGUCGCUGCCUUCCGGUCUCGGGCCAACAGCGGCCGAGGCGCAGGCGUCUGGGCCUCCUCGCCAGGCUCGCCCUGCUUUGGGUGACUCGCCAUACAUCAGCCGCAAGGAUUCUCCUCUGUAAGCCUGACAGUGCCACAUAACUGCGGACCGAGGGACUCUAAUCUGGUAAUGGUGUCCUAAGACACAAAUCCACUUUAGAUUGCACUUACAUUGGGGAGGCCAGAGCUCACUUUUCUGCGCUAAGUAGUAAAAAAUAAACUUCGAAAGAAAACUGACAAUCAAAGAAAAGACACAGGAGAAGUCAGAAGAAGAACUGAGCUAUGAAAAAGCCAAGAUGCAGAAAAAGAAAUAAUCAUUUGAAGCCAUGCACCUAAGCUUUUUCUCUAGGAAAUUCUGUCACGAUUUUUUCCUUAUAGAAGUCAGUGGUUCAUUUCUCAAGAAGACAAACGUUCCCUGUGAUGUAAAGUAAUAAAAGUUUUAUUAAUGGAACAUAACAAGUAUAAACACUUUGUUUACUCCUGCUUCUUUGUACAAAAUGGGCAAAAUGUCUUCGAGGAUUUAUAACCAUUUUGUAAAUAUUAGUGUGGCUUUAGCUGGGGCGCACUACUUACACCCGCUUCUCUAGAAGGAGGCACUCGGAGAGCGCCUUCAGAUAAGAUUCAAUUCUUUUGUAUUUCAGCAAAGUGGGCCCACGCAUCUCUAUUUGGUUUGACAAAUAAUGCAACUCCUACUACAUCCCCGGUGACACGAGGUGAAAUUCCUAUUGUGUGGAAAUAAUUUAACUUCUAAUCUUCUGGUGGAACAACAAUCGUUUCUAUUUGGAUGUUUGUGUUUCGCUAAAUAGUGAUGGCUGAAAAUAAUAUUUAGUUUCCUUGUUCCUCUGUGCUGUUUUUAAAAUGGCAUGUUAGAUUGGGGGUGGGAGGGGAUUAUCCUUUAUGCUAAAUUUCACUUCAUCCGAGCAGGUUUAAAGUAUACAUGUUGUAGAAGUGUAUCAACAGAAUAAAUGACUUCAACCGAAGGGAUAUUUUACCCACUUUCAAGGCUUAUUAAAAUUGUUUUUCUGUGAAAUUUGCAUCCAUAGGCAGAAUUUCUAAUUGUCUUGUAAGAAAUUAUUUUUUAAAGCUAUUAGGGAAAUCAAAGAAGAGCUUGCUGCCUUGCAGGGAUUACAACAACCCUUCUUAACUGGCUAAAUAUUAAACAGAUGAAUUGUCAGGCUGUUUAGAUUCAGCCCGGUUUUCCCUCAUCUCCUCUUCCCACCAUAAAUAAUAAUAAA